rnacentral:rRNA from 1 species
AUUGAACGCUGGCGGCAUGCCUUACACAUGCAAGUCGAACGGCAGCACGGGGGCAACCCUGGUGGCGAGUGGCGAACGGGUGAGUAAUGCAUCGGAACGUGUCCUCUUGUGGGGGAUAACCAGUCGAAAGAUUGGCUAAUACCGCAUGAGAUCGAGAGAUGAAAGCGGGGGACCCGAGGGUAACUUCGGGCCUCGCGCGAGAGGAGCGGCCGAUGCCGGAUUAGCUAGUUGGUGGGGUAAGAGCCUACCAAGGCGACGAUCCGUAGCUGGUCUGAGAGGACGACCAGCCACACUGGGACUGAGACACGGCCCAGACUCCUACGGGAGGCAGCAGUGGGGAAUCUUGGACAAUGGGCGCAAGCCUGAUCCAGCCAUGCCGCGUGUGUGAAGAAGGCC